GGUUAAGCGAACAAGCGUACACGGUGGAUGCCCUGGCAGUCAGAGGCAUGAAGGACGUGCUAAUCUGCGAAAAGCGCCCGGUAAGGUGAUAUGAACCCGUUAUAACCGGCGAUUUCCGAACGGGGG
rnacentral:rRNA from 1 species